CUCUCCAGCUGAGAUCAGCUGUGUUGUUUUCAUUUAGCAAUGGCGCUGCAGAGGUUGGGACGUUUGGAAGUAUUUUCUCUUAUAAUGAAAAUGAGAUAAAAUAUUUUACUGAUUGCUAAUUACAUACAUGUUUUGGCAUAUUAUAGGACAGUAGUGAGGAAUAAUAAGGAAAUCCUUGGAAAUACGCGAGGCACCUGAAACCGGGAUGAGCAAUGCACCACGUGUAGAAGGGUUUGCACAACAAACUGCAGAGUCAAAGAGAUGCACCAGGUUUACAAAACAUUUGACAACAGUGGUUCCCGUAACGUACACGUACUGGUACUGCAUACUAAAGCACACAAGUUAAAGAUGAGGAACGGGCAUCCCUGACUGUCCUUGAGAAGCACAAGGGCUGGAGUGUUGGGACAAUUGUAAUCCAUACUAGCAUUAAUGAUAUUCAUCAUUGAUGGUCAGAACUCCUGCCGACAGACUUCACAUCCCUCAUUCAGGCCAGGAAGGAGAGGACUCUGGCUGCGAGGAUCGCUGUGUUAAGCCCACUUCCUAUGCUACUUAGAUCAGAUGAAACCUACAAUCAAUACUUGGCCCUAAACACAUGGAUGAGAAUUCUGCUUCAAUGACAACUUGGCCGUCUUCUGGGGGGGAGACUGCUUUUCUGCAGAUGUGAUGGCCUACAUCCAAACAGGUUUGGUGCUCAGUUCCUCUCUGAAAAUACCUGAAAACUAAACAGUCUUUUUUGACUAUAUGGCCUUAGUCCUAAUGUUCACUAUAAUCCUUUAAUACGAUUUGAUCAUUCUGUAGUGUAUCUCACUCUCAGACUUAUCUAUAGUAGUAACUAACUAUGUCAGGUUCCUAAUUGCAUGCAAUUUCAGUUUUCAUAUAGAUAACCAAUGUGAACCUAAAACAAGAGAAUUUAUGAACUUACUGCACUCUGUUGAUCUUCGCACAUCAGUCAGGCUUUAAUUAUCUCAAAAGGAUUAAAAUUCGACAUGAUGCAGGUCGUGGAUGCAGUAUGUGUAUAUCUGACCAUUUCUGCAUCUUAUUUAUGUAGAAAUACUGGUAACCACAACUAAAGAGAAGCAUUACAGAGAACUGCAGACACAUGGGAUAAGUUACGAAGUAGCAUCAUAGAAAGAAGGAUUCUACAGGGCAUGCAAAACUCAGUCUGAUGUUUAGAAUGAAUUGGGUGGGGCUGAACCUGUUCUCAUCAAAAUAUUUUUCUAAUUUUGUAAAUACCACUAGCUUUUCACACCCAAGAAGAAAACAAGUCAGAUACUGAAAAUGAAGGCUUGAGAAGGAAAGUUGGACAUGGCCAUCCAGAGAUUCCUGUUCUUUAUUUUUCCUGAAGGAUCAAUUUAAUUUGAACGCACAUAAAAAAUAAAAAGUUAACUGAUUCUUUCCCUUUAGUUAGUGUAUCCAGAUAAUUAAUUUUCUGUCAAAUCCUGCAGUGUUUGGAUAUUUGGCCUGAUGUGAAUGAGUGGCCACUGUUACAGACUGGCACUUUGUUCUAGAUCAGGGGUCUCUAACUUUUCCAGCCCCCCUUCCCACCCUCUCAUAUAGGACGUCAACAAAAUAAUGCAAUCCAGCCUGCGAAUGGUAAAUUUAUUUAACUGUUUUUGCCUACUUCCUUUGUUUACUCAUUUAAGUCCAAAAUAGUUUAAAAAUAAUUUUAAAUUAAAAAAUAAUUUCAAAUUAACAUAAAUCUUUCAGUUCUGUCUUUUGAUGCAAAUGUGCUGUUUAUGAUUAAAAAGAAAGCAAGUUAA